GACGAACGCUGGCGGCGUGCCUAAUACAUGCAAGUAGAACGCUUAAGGAGGAGCUUGCUUCUCUGGAUGAGUUGCGAACGGGUGAGUAACGCGUAGGUAACCUGCCUGGUAGCGGGGGAUAACUAUUGGAAACGAUAGCUAAUACCGCAUAAUAGCAGUUGUUGCAUGACAACUGUUUGAAAGGUGCAAUUGCACCACUACCAGAUGGACCUGCGUUGUAUUAGCUAGUUGGUGGGGUAACGGCUCACCAAGGCGACGAUACAUAGCCGACCUGAGAGGGUGAUCGGCCACACUGGGACUGAGACACGGCCCAGACUCCUACGGGAGGCAGCAGUAGGGAAUCUUCGGCAAUGGACGGAAGUCCGACCGAGCAACGCCGCGUGAGUGAAGAAGGUUUUCGGAUCGUAAAGCUCUGUUGUAAGAGAAGAACGAGUGUGAGAGUGGAAAGUUCACACUGUGACGGUAGCUUACCAGAAAGGGACGGCUAACUACGUG
rnacentral:rRNA from 1 species